GGCAAGUCCCAGAGCAAGUCCAUCUGCUUUCCAGACACCUUGAUUGAUGUGAAGCUUGACAGGACCAGUGCACCUCUCUCUGAAAGAAGUGUUGUGAUGGUGAUUUCUCCUCUUGUUUCUCUGAGUGAAGCCAUCUUCAAAGUGUUAGUGUGUCUGUUCGACGUUCAGUGCCAUUCUCUCUGGAAGGAAGUAUUGUUGUGACAUUUGCCGAAAAUUGGUCACAGAGUUUAACUAAUUUCUUAUGAGAUUAACUUGUCGCCUGAGUGUGUAUCCGAUCCGAGCCUCAAGUUAAUGAAUAAAUCUACAGAGCUGAUGUUUUACUUAGCUGUCUCUGUCUACAGUAUAUACAGAGAGGUAGCCUCUCCUUUUUCUUUUUUCUGUUCUUUAUCACAAUAAGAUAAAAUAAGAUAAA